CUAACGGCUGGAUGAAACUCUAUCCCUCUUUCCUUUUAAACCAAGAAGAAAAUCCUAAUCCCUUACUUUUGGCAAAAGAAUCGGUCGAUCCUUCACUACACUCUCUCUACAACUCCAUCUUUUUCGAUCCUUCUCGCUCCGCCCCCCCCCCCCCCACACACAUAAACUGACCGCCGAUAGCGGACAAUCAAAUAUCGCUGCCGUUUGUCACCGACGGGACCACCAUCGUGAACAGCUGUUCAACUACCACCGCGAUGUGUAUCUUACGGAUGAUGGCGAUGGAGAAGGAGAUGGUGUUGGUGGAGAAGAUAAGGCAUCGGUGGUUUCGUGUUCGAUUUGUCUUAAAGAUGUAACCAAUAAUGGGGAUUGAUCCUGGGCUAAGCUUCAAUGUGGAUAUCAAUUUCACCUUGGUUAGUUCGUUUGGCAAUUUUUUAAAUUAAUUAAAUUUAAUUGGUACUGUUUUGUUUUAUAAGUAAGCAAAAAACUUGUUGGUAGUAAAAUUUAGCUAUGGAUUGUUUGGGAUCUGAUUAUUCCUAAAGUUGUGUACUUUUUUCCCGUUGGGAGAUUCGGAUUUUGAUUUCAUGAAAAAUUGUUGGUUAAUUUUCUGUAAUUUCUAACUUAAACAAGGGGGACGAGCAGGUUUUCUGUUAAUUUAGAUCAUAAUUGCCAAUUAUAGAGAAUUAGCAUGCCGUAAGCUAGUGGUAUGUCUUACACUUUGAAACGAUCUCAUACUCAGGUAUUUCCAAAUUUGUAACAAAUGUGUGUUAGAGUUGAAUGGACUUCAUCGUGUGAUGAUGAUUAUCCCUUUUACAUAGUACUUGGGUUAUCAGUUUCCAAAACAUGGGAUUGCAUGUGUCAAUUGCCUGGGUGAUGUGUAUGUUUUAGUGCAGUUCAACAGUCUAAGCAAUUUUCGAUUUGUUUCUUGUACGGAAGAAUUUUGUUAAGAAAAUUGCAGGUUCAAAGAUAUUGGCAGAAUUAUGUUAAUAAAAUUUAAUAUUUAAGGGUAUUAAAGGAAAUUGAGUACUUCUACAACUUUGGAAGUAACAUGGAGCAAGAAAGGAGGAGGUCAGUCAAUAAAGAAAGAAAAAAGAAGUUGAUUAAUCAAAGGUUCAACUGAUUAUCAUGUAUAUGUUGUAAAGAUGCAGUCUUUGGACAUAUACCAUGCUAGAUAAAAGAACUUCAAUCUUCUUUGCUUGGAGUUGCUCUUGUCCAGUUUUUGAGUCUUAAAUCUGGGGUCAAGUAGCCAUAACAAUGAUUAAGUUUAGUCACUUGAAAUGUGAAUUAGAGAGUUGAAAAUGGUCAAGUAUAGUGUUUUGAAAUGUGUACUAGUGACUUUAAAAUGAUCAAGUGUAGUCACUUGAGAAGUGGAUUAGCGACUUGAAAGGUGAACUUGUGUUUUAAAAUUAGUAAAGUGUAAUCACUUGAAAAUGUGAAUUCAUGACUUGAAAUUGAUUUGGUGUUGACACUUGAAAUGUGGAUUCAUGACUUGAACAUGGUUAGGUUUAGUCACUUGAAAUGUGAAUUACAGAGUUGAAAAUGGUUAAGUGUAGUGUUUUGAAAAUGGUUAAGUAUAGUGAUUUGAAAUGUUAAUUAGCUAUUUGAACAUGGUUUGAGUGUAGUGACUUGAAAUGUGAAUAAGUUAUUUGAAAAUUAUUAAGUGUACAGACUUUAAAAUGAUUAAGUAUAGUUACUUGAAAUUGCAAACUUGUGACUUGAAAACAGUUAUGUGUAGUUACUUGAAAUAGUGAGCUAGUGACUUGAAAAUAGUUAAGUGUAGUUACUUUAAAUGUGAAUUAGGUACUUGAAAGUGGUUAAGUAUAGUGACUUGAAAUGAAUGAUUAAGUGUAGUGACUUGAAAAUGAUUAAGUAUAGUUAUUUAAAAUGUGAAGUAGUUACUUGAAAAUGGUUAAGUAUAGUGACUUGAAAUGUGAAUUAAUUAUUUGAAAAUGGUUAAGUGUAGUGACUUGAAAUGUGAAUUAGUUAUUUGAAAAUGGUUAAGUGUUGUGACUUGAAAUGUCUACUAGUUAUUUAAAAAUGGUUAAGUGUAGUGACUUGAAAUGUGUACUAGUGACUUGAAAAUGGUUAAGUGUAGUUACUUCAAAAUGGUUAAGUACAGUGACUUGAAAUGUCAAUUAGUUAUUUGAAAAUGGUUUGAGUGUAGUGACUUUAAAUGUGUGUUAGUGAAUAAGUUAUUUGAAAAUUAUUAAGUUAUUUGAAAAUUAUUAAGUGUAGUGACUUGAAAAUGUGAACUUGUGAUUGAUCUAUUUAUAUUUAUCAUAAUGUUUUUUAGUUGUACAUAGAUAUAAAUAUAAUAAGGAUUGAAAGUUUAUCUGAUUGAUUUUUAUACUUUGCAUUUUAUGUAGCCAAGUGAUGGGCUAGUGGACUCAUUUCGUCCAUGGAUGCAAGAAGACCACGUGAUGAUAGUGAUCCUAAUGACAGUCAUUAAUUUCGUUGCAAAUUGUCUUGAAAAUUCAUUUAUGAUGAUGUAAUUGUGUGGUUGGGGCGAAUCUUAGAAUAUUGAAGGUUUUGUGUUUAAAUUUGAUUUUGGAAUUCGAAGAUACUAGUUAAUAUUGAAAAUUUAGAGUUUGAAAAUGUUAAUGUUGAAAAUUUAAUUUUGAAGUUUAAUGUUCAAUGUAUUUUUGAGAUGAUUAUGAAUUACAAUAUUUAAUUAGUCAUGUUGUGUCAAUGAUAUAUGAAUUAAAUAAAUAUUGGAUUGUGGAUUAUGCCUAAAGGAAUAAUUAAAUUUGAGCUAAAAUUAGAGUUUAUAAUUUGUUAUUGAAAAUUGAUGGGUCCAACUAAAAUUUUUUAAAAAAUAAAAUUGUAGAGGUUUUAAACUGCUGCAAUUUUUAAAUAAAAAUUGAUUAUAAAAAGAAUUAAGUUUAGAGUAAUGGAGGUCUCGACCGUCGCAAAAUAAUUCUCGCAAAUUAAUUAUGGGGAUCGAAAAAAAAGUGUUGCAAAUUGAUAGUGACGAUUCGUAUUAUAGGGGUUUUAAAAACUGUCGGGAUCACAAUUUGCGAGGGUUUUGGCUUAAAAUUAAUUCCUGCAAUUUGAUCCAUUUUUUGAAGUGGAAACAUAGAGCAAAUUUAUCAUGUAUACUGUUGUUUAAUUAUCUCUAAUAAAAAGUUGUGCAAUACUCUGAUGUGUAGCGGAAUACCAAG
rnacentral:lncRNA from 1 species